rnacentral:rRNA from 1 species
CCAAUAGCGUAUAUUAAAGUUGUUGUGGUUAAAAAGCUCGUAGUUGAACCUUGGGCCUGGCCGUCCGAUCCGCCUCACCGCGUGUACUGGCUCGGCCGGGCCUUUCCCUCUGUGGAACCCCAUGCCCUUCACUGGGCGUGGCGGGGAAACAGGACUUUUACUGUGAAAAAAUUAGAGUGCUCCAGGCAGGCCUAUGCUCGAAUACAUUAGCAUGGAAUAAUAGAAUAGGACGUGUGGUUCUAUUUUGUUGGUUUCUAGGACCGCCGUAAUGAUUAAUAGGGACAGUCGGGGGCAUCAGUAUUCAAUUGUCAGAGGUGAAAUUCUUGGAUUUAUUGAAGACUAACUACUGCGAAAGCAUUUGCCAAGGAUGUUUUCAUUAAUCAGGAACGAAAGUUAGGGGAUCGAAGACGAUCAGAUACCGUCGUAGUCUUAACCAUAAACUAUGCCGACUAGGGAUCGGACGGUGUUAUUUUUUGACCCGUUCGGCACCUUACG